rnacentral:rRNA from 1 species
GGUGAAAAGCACCCCGGAAGGGGAGUGAAAUAGAACCUGAAACCGUGUGCUUACAAGUAGUCAGAGCCCGUUAAUGGGUGAUGGCGUGCCUUUUGUAGAAUGAACCGGCGAGUUACGAUUUGAUGCAAGGUUAAGCAGUAAAUGUGGAGCCGUAGCGAAAGCGAGUCUGAAUAGGGCGUUUAGUAUUUGGUCGUAGACCCGAAACCAGGUGAUCUACCCUUGGUCAGGUUGAAGUUCAGGUAACACUGAAUGGAGGACCGAACCGACUUACGUUGAAAAGUGAGCGGAUGAACUGAGGGUAGCGGAGAAAUUCCAAUCGAACCUGGAGAUAGCUGGUUCUCUCCGAAAUAGCUUUAGGGCUAGCCUCAAGUGAUGAUUAUUGGAGGUAGAGCACUGUUUGGACGAGGGGCCCCUCUCGGGUUACCGAAUUCAGACAAACUCCGAAUGCCAAUUAAUUUAACUUGGGAGUCAGAACAUGGGUGAUAAGGUCCGUGUUCGAAAGGGAAACAGCCCAGACCACCAGCUAAGGUCCCAAAAUAUAUGUUAAGUGGAAAAGGAUGUGGCGUUGCCCAGACAACUAGGAUGUUGGCUUAGAAGCAGCCAUCAUUUAAAGAGUGCGUAAUAGCUCACUAGUCGAGUGACACUGCGCCGAAAAUGUACCGGGGCUAAACAUAUUACCGAAGCUGUGGAUUGUCCUUUGGACAAUGGUAGGAGAGCGUUCUAAGGGCGUUGAAGCAUGAUCGUAAGGACAUGUGGAGCGCUUAGAAGUGAGAAUGCCGGUGUGAGUAGCGAAAGACGGGUGAGAAUCCCGUCCACCGAUUGACUAAGGUUUCCAGAGGAAGGCUCGUCCGCUCUGGGUUAGUCGGGUCCUAAGCUGAGGCCGACAGGCGUAGGCGAUGGAUAACAGGUUGAUAUUCCUGUACCACCUAUAAUCGUUUUAAUCGAUGGGGGGACGCAGUAGGAUAGGCGAAGCGUGCGAUUGGAUUGCACGUCUAAGCAGUAAGGCUGAGUAUUAGGCAAAUCCGGUACUCAUUAAGGCUGAGCUGUGAUGGGGAGAAGACAUUGUGUCUUCGAGUCGUUGAUUUCACACUGCCGAGAAAAGCCUCUAGAUAGAAAAUAGGUGCCCGUACCGCAAACCGACACAGGUAGUCAAGAUGAGAAUUCUAAGGUGAGCGAGCGAACUCUCGUUAAGGAACUCGGCAAAAUGACCCCGUAACUUCGGGAGAAGGGGUGCUCUUUAGGGUUAACGCCCAGAAGAGCCGCAGUGAAUAGGCCCAAGCGACUGUUUAUCAAAAACACAGGUCUCUGCUAAACCGUAAGGUGAUGUAUAGGGGCUGACGCCUGCCCGGUGCUGGAAGGUUAAGAGGAGUGGUUAGCUUCUGCGAAGCUACGAAUCGAAGCCCCAGUAAACGGCGGCCGUAACUAUAACGGUCCUAAGGUAGCGAAAUUCCUUGUCGGGUAAGUUCCGACCCGCACGAAAGGCGUAACGAUUUGGGCACUGUCUCAACGAGAGACUCGGUGAAAUCAUAGUACCUGUGAAGAUGCAGGUUACCCGCGACAGGACGGAAAGACCCCGUGGAGCUUUACUGUAGCCUGAUAUUGAAAUUCGGCACAGCUUGUACAGGAUAGGUAGGAGCCUUUGAAACGUGAGCGCUAGCUUACGUGGAGGCGCUGGUGGGAUACUACCCUAGCUGUGUUGGCUUUCUAACCCGCACCACUUAUCGUGGUGGGAGACAGUGUCAGGCGGGCAGUUUGACUGGGGCGGUCGCCUCCUAAAAGGUAACGGAGGCGCUCAAAGGUUCCCUC